rnacentral:rRNA from 1 species
CCUACGGGUGGCAGCAGUGAGGAAUAUUGGUCAAUGGGCGUAAGCCUGAACCAGCCAAGUCGCGUGAGGGAUGAAGGUUCUAUGGAUCGUAAACCUCUGUUAUCAGGGACUAAAGUGUGGGACGUUUCCUAUUUUGUAUGUACCUUAUGAAUAAGGAUCGGCUAAAUCCGUGCCAGCAGCCGCGGUAAUACGGAGGUUCCGAGCGUUAUCUGGAUUUAUUGGGUUUAAAGGGUGGGUAGGCGGCCUUUUAAGUCAGCGGGGAAAGUCUGUGGCUCAACCAGCGAGUUUCCGUUGAAACUGGGGGGCUUGAGUAUGUUAGAGGCAGGCGGAAGGCGUGGUGUAGCGGUGAAAUGCUUAGAUAUCACGAAGAACCCCGAUUGCGAAGGCAGCCUGCCAAGCCAUGACUGACGCUGAUGCACGAAAGCGUGGGGAUCAAACAGGAUUAGAUACCCGGGUAGUC